UCUGUUUGCUGGGGGAGUUCCUGAUGGGAACUGAGAUUUCCGGGUGUACCGGAUGACCCUUUGAACCUGUUUGGGUAAUGCCAACGGAGGGAAGCGGCGGCUAAUUUUU
rnacentral:ncRNA from 2 species